rnacentral:rRNA from 1 species
GACGAACGCUGGCGGCGUGCUUAACACAUGCAAGUCGAACGGAAAGGCCCUGCUUUUGUGGGGUGCUCGAGUGGCGAACGGGUGAGUAACACGUGAGUAACCUGCCCUUGACUUUGGGAUAACUUCAGGAAACUGGGGCUAAUACCGGAUAGGAGCUCCUGCUGCAUGGGGGGGGUUGGAAAGUUUCGGCGGUUGGGGAUGGACUCGCGGCUUAUCAGCUUGUUGGGGGGGUAGGGGCUUACCAAGGCUUUGAAGGGUAGCCGGCCUGAGAGGGUGACCGGCCACAUUGGGCCUGAGAUACGGCCCAGACUCCUACGGGAGGCAGCAGUGGGGAAUAUUGCACAAUGGGCGGAAGCCUGAUGCAGCAACGCCGCGUGCGGGAUGACGGCCUUCGGGUUGUAAACCGCUUUCGCCUGUGACGAAGCGUGAGUGACGGUAAUGGGUAAAGAAGCACCGGCUAACUACGUG